GCGUGCCUAAUACAUGCAAGUCGAACGCUUUUUCUUUCACCGGAGCUUGCUCCACCGAAAGAAAAAGAGUGGCGAACGGGUGAGUAACACGUGGGUAACCUGCCCAUCAGAAGGGGAUAACACUUGGAAACAGGUGCUAAUACCGUAUAACACUAUUUUCCGCAUGGAAGAAAGUUGAAAGGCGCUUUUGCGUCACUGAUGGAUGGACCCGCGGUGCAUUAGCUAGUUGGUGAGGUAACGGCUCACCAAGGCAACGAUGCAUAGCCGACCUGAGAGGGUGAUCGGCCACACUGGGACUGAGACACGGCCCAGACUCCUACGGGAGGCAGCAGUAGGGAAUCUUCGGCAAUGGACGAAAGUCUGACCGAGCAACGCCGCGUGAGUGAAGAAGGUUUUCGGAUCGUAAAACUCUGUUGUUAGAGAAGAACAAGGAUGAGAGUAAAAUGUUCAUCCCUUGACGGUAUCUAACCAGAAAGCCACGGCUAACUACGUGCCAGCAGCCGCGGUAAUACGUAGGUGGCAAGCGUUGUCCGGAUUUAUUGGGCGUAAAGCGAGCGCAGGCGGUUUCUUAAGUCUGAUGUGAAAGCCCCCGGCUCAACCGGGGAGGGUCAUUGGAAACUGGGAGACUUGAGUGCAGAAGAGGAGAGUGGAAUUCCAUGUGUAGCGGUGAAAUGCGUAGAUAUAUGGAGGAACACCAGUGGCGAAGGCGGCUCUCUGGUCUGUAACUGACGCUGAGGCUCGAAAGCGUGGGGAGCG
rnacentral:rRNA from 1 species